UACGAGGGGGGCGAGCGUUGUUCGGAAUUAUUGGGCGUAAAGGGUGCGUAGGCGGUCUGAUAAGUCAUCUGUGAAAUCUAUGGGCUCAACCCAUAGUCUGCAGGCGAAACUGUCGGGCUUGAGUAUGGGAGAGGUGAGUGGAAUUUCCGGUGUAGCGGUGAAAUGCGUAGAUAUCGGAAGGAACACCUGUGGCGAAAGCGGCUCACUGGACCAUUACUGACGCUGAUGCACGAAAGCUAGGGGAGCAAACAGG
rnacentral:rRNA from 1 species